CAACGUGAGGCGAGGGCGAGGGGGCGGUGACCCGGGCACCAAUGAGCGCCCUACGGCAAGCCCCAGGUGGAGCGACUACAGGUCCCGACAGGCUAUUUUCCCGGAAGCUCCUUUUGAAAAGCUUGAGGUAGACGCGGAGAGAUGCAUGCCGGGAGUUGUAGUUUCUGCGUGCGGUAGUUAAGCUCUUCCCGUGGUUUUCGGUGGGUGGCCGGGAAGGGCGACUCGGCUGGCUCCCGGGGGAGUGUUAAUAGUGACUUGGCCGCCAGUUCCAUCCUCAGGGAUUCCACGUCUUAGUUCCUUUUCCUCCCCUUAACCUUAGUUUCUUCGCUUGUAACGUGGAAGCGCUGUUUCCCACAGUUCCCAAAGCAACGGCAGCUGGGCCAUGACAGCUCGCUCUGCUCGCUCUUUCAGGCCGAGUGGUGAUAAAGUUUUCAGCUGUUGCUAGUAUCCGCAUGCUGCCUUGUGAGUGGUCUCCUAGAUCUGAUCACACCGUAGUGAGUAGUCCCUUCAUUACAGCCUGUUCCGCUGGGCCUGCUUUCCUCUGGCCAGCUGGAGCUGACCGGUCAGCUGCACACAGUGGACAACGGUGGCAAAUCAGGCAGACCCUUCUCCCACUUGGACUGGCGCCAGACUGGAUGGGCAGUCCUCAGCUGAGGUGCUUGGUUCAUCUGCAGGGGAUGUUGGUGACCAGUGACUGUUAACUACGGCUGAUUUUAAUUCUAUACACCUAAAGGAAAAGCAUGAUGGGAAACUCCCAGAGCAGCUGCUCCACGCUAAUUCACACAGCAAUGCGUGAGGGUCCCAGUUGCUCUACAUCCUUGCCAACACUGAUGUUUUUGGUCUUGUGGCGUCACCCUAGUGAGGGUGAAGUGGUUUUUUACUGUGGCUUCCAUUUGCUCUUCCCUAAUGGCUGGUGAUGUUGGGUGUCUUUUCAUGUGCUCAUUGAUCGUUGGUACAUUUUGUUUCAAAAAAUAUCUAUUAAAUCCUUUGCUUAUUUUAAAACAGGGAUUGUCUUUUUAUUGUUGAGUUAUGAGUUCUCUAUAUAUUCGGAAUACUAUGCCCUUAUCAGUACCUGAUUUACAAAUAUUUUAUUCCCAUGCUGUGGGUUAGUCCUUUCCCUUUUUAAAAAACAGUGUCCAACUGAGGCAGGAGACAGCUAAAGGUUAACUCAUCAAGCUGAGAAAAGCAAAUUCCAAAACUCUUUCAUAGUCUGUCUCUGUCUGCACCUACCUUGAGGCAGGAGACCAAAAAGGGGGAGGGGGACUAGUUGGGGAAGCUGAGAGAAAAAUAAUUUACAAGCUUGAAAACCCUCACUUAGAAGCUGUAUAGAUAGAUAACAGAGGAUCUCUACACCAGGGGUCUUCGCAGCCUUAUAAAAACACAAUAUUUUUCAUAUCUGGGGCCUUGAGUCUCAGCCUGUCUGAGCAUUGGUUUUCAGUCUGCUUCUCUCUUAAGAAGUGUACUUAUUUCUACUAUAAUCAACUUCACUGUUAAAGUCUCUGUGAGCUGCAUUCAGCCUGUCGCCUAAGGCUCUAAAGAGCCUGUGCCUGCUCCUUGCCUUCCUACUCUCCACUCCCGGAACACUGUGAAGCAAGAAAAAAUUAUAGUUCUGAUAAAGUCUGAUUUUUCUUUGGUUGCUUAUGCCUUGGUGUCUAAAAAAUGAUUGUCUAAUCCAAGGUCAUGAAGAAUUAUAUAUAUGUUUCAUUCUAAGAAUUUUAUUGUCUUCACUUUUUUUUUUAAAGAUUUAUUUAUUUAUUUGAAAGGCACAGUUGCAGAGAGGCAGAGGCAGAGAGAGAGAGGUCUCUGUCUUAGCUUUAACAUGUAUGUGUUUGAUUUAUUUGGGAUUUUUUUUUAAGAUGAUUUAUUUGAACGUUAAAGAGGGAGAGGCAGAGAUAGACUUAUUUAUUUAUUUAUUUAUAAGAUGGAAUUACAGAGAGAGAAAGAGAGAGAGAGAGAGAGAGAAUCUUCCAUCCACUGGUUCACUCCCCAAAUGGCCACAACAGCCACAGUUGGGCCAGACCAAAGCCAGGACCCAGGAGCUUCUUCCAGGUCUCUCACAUGGAGGGGACCCGCUAUUUUCCCAGGCACAUUAGUAGGAGCUGAAUCAGAAGUAGAGCAGCCAGGACUCCAACCAGCACCCAUAUGGGAAGCCAGCACUGCAGACAGUGGCUUAACCCAAUGCACCAAAGUGCUAGCCCCGAGAUAAUUUUUGUAUCCAGUGUGAGGUAAGCAUCCCAUUUUAUUCUUUUACACGUGGCUAUCCAGUUGACUCUACCAUUUGGUGAGAAGACUCCUCUUUCCCCAUUGAAUGACCUUAGCACUCCUGAUGAAAAUCAUUUGACUGCAAAUAUUAAAACCAUGCACAGUGAAAGAUUUCUCGCCUUUUGCUUAACAGCAAGCUUCUAACGCUGCCUAACAUGCUAACAGCACAUGACAGCAUUUGCAUGACUGUGGCAUAGUAACUUGCAACCUCAUAACAAUUGUUUCUACUAAAAAAAAAAUCUGCUGGACCAUCUUUCUAGGGUCCCUGAUAAAGCUGAACAGGACUGACUGCAGCCACCAUUGUAACUGGGACCUUCACAGACUGGCUCUCACUGACCUGGGAGUUACCUUACGCUGCGUUAUUGUGUUAAAUGACACGCCUCCCGUGACAUUUCAGCAGCUGUCUUUGAUCAUCUGGUGAAUGUAAAGGCAGGAUUUCUCAAGGUGCAAGCCCACAGGAUGGUCCCCACUCUUUUCCUCUGCACCUGUCAUGUUCUGUCAUAUUCUUUGCCCAGUUCCACUCCCUUUCAUUCCCUUUCUGAAUGGGGAGAUUGAUUUGGGCUUCAACAUGACCCGCCCCUUGCUUCCACAGGCCUGCGAUUCUGUUAGUGAUAAUAAUACUAACUGCUGUUUUUCUCAGAAGGUGGGUUCAGUGUUUUUAGAAUAGUUACGGUAUGUGUAUAUGAGGUCCUGAGGCCCCAUAACAAUGUGGGAUUUAUUUCUUCUCUUGCUCAAUUGUCUCUCCUUAGGACAGUGCCACUUAUCUUGAUUACUAUGCUUUAUAGUAAAUUUUGGAUUCAGGAAAUGUGAGUCCUCCACCUUUAUUCAAUCGUUUUUGUUUGUUUUCACAGGCAGUUAGACAGUGAGAGAGAGAGAAAGAGAGAGAGAAAGAUCUUCCUUCC